UUAGGAAUUUUGCGCAAUGGGGGAAACCCUGACGCAGCAACGCCGCGUGAAGGAAGAAGGCCUUCGGGUUGUAAACUUCUUUUAGUGGGAACGAAAAAAAUGACGGUACUCACAGAAAAAGCACCGGCUAACUACGUGCCAGCAGCCGCGGUAAUACGUAGGGUGCAAGCGUUAUUCGGAAUUAUUGGGCGUAAAGCGCAUGUAGGCGGCUUGGUAAGUCUGUUGUGAAAGCCCCGGACUCAAUUCGGGAAGUGCAGCGGAUACUGCCAGGCUAGAGUAUAAGAGGGGAGAGCGGAAUUCCUGGUGUAGAGGUGAAAUUCGUAGAUAUCAGGAGGAACAACAGUGGCGAAGGCGGCUCUCUGGAUUAUUACUGACGCUCAGAUGCGAAAGCGUGGGGAGCAAACA
rnacentral:rRNA from 1 species